rnacentral:rRNA from 1 species
GACAGAGGCCUCAAGCGUUAGGCGGAAUCACUGGGCUUAAAGCGUGUGUAGGCGGAUCGUUAAGUGUCUUGUGAAAUCCCCGGGCUCAACCUGGGAACUGCCUUUGUGACUGCAUAGCUAGAGUACGGUAGAGGGGGAUGGAAUUCCGCGUGUAGCAGUGAAAUGCGUAGAUAUGCGGAGGAACACCGAUGGCGAAGGCAAUCCCCCUGGACCUGU